AUUAUGGCUCAAAUCCUCACAGACUUAUUCAACGUCAAAAGUCAAGGCUAAAAUCACUUUUCAAUCAUGUAAAUUUGUUCAAAUCAUGCUCAUAUCAUUAAGAAAAAUUGAAAUUAAAUCAUGAAUUUUCAAAAGAAAUCAUCACCGGCAUCUUACUAAAAAUCUAAUGGAGCAAAAAAAAAAUCACACACCACCCAACCAAACAAAAUAAGACAAUAAAGCCAACAAAAUGAUAAAAGUCAUACACAUACCUAAUCUCACUCCCACCCCCCAACUUAUUACAGAACACAUGUUAGAAAAUAAGUUUGAAGGGAUGAAGAUAUGUGUGUCACUACUCACAGUAAAACAUGCUCCAAGGUGGUGGUGUGGACGAGACUCAAACUCCGCAUCUUCUAAGUUCUGCUGUGAUUUUCUCCCCAAAAGAAACAAAACAAAGAAAACAAAAGAGAAACAAAGAAAAAAAAAGGUAAAGGAAAACAAAAACAAGAAAAUAGUUGGGUUACGUUACCUCCCAACAAGUGCUUAAUUUAACGUUUAGAGCUCAACGAUACCUCAUGGUUCAAUCUAUCCCCACACAGUGGAAAGCA
rnacentral:lncRNA from 1 species